GACGAACGCUGGCGGCGUGCUUAACACAUGCAAGUCGAACGGAAAGGCCUGCUUUCCCUUGUGGAUUGCGGGUACUCGAGUGGCGAACGGGUGAGUAACACGUGAGUGAUCUGCCCCCAACUUGGGUAUAAGCCUGGGAAACUGAGUCUAAUUCCCGAUAGGACUGCAGGGUGGUGCCUGUGGUGGAAAACGAUUUUCUAGUGGUUGGGGAUGAGCUCGCGGCCUAUCAGCUUGUUGGUGGGGUAAUGGCCUACCAAGGCGGCGACGGGUAGCCGGCCUGAGAGGGUGGACGGCCACAUUGGGACUGAGAUACGGCCCAGACUCCUACGGGAGGCAGCAGUGGGGAAUAUUGCACAAUGGGCGGAAGCCUGAUGCAGCGACGCCGCGUGGGGGAUGACGGCCUUCGGGUUGUAAACUCCUUUCGACCGCGAGGAAGCCACCUGGUUGGAAGGGUGGUGACGGUAGUGGUAGAAGAAGCACCGGCUAACUACGUG
rnacentral:rRNA from 1 species